AACAGGCUAAUUUGCGCAAGAGUGUACAAAAUGAGUGCGCGGUUUGGCACCUCGAUGUCGGCUUAACUUAUCCUCAUGGAUGCAGGAACUAUGUAGGGUACGACUGUUCGUCGAUUAAAAAGUUACAUGAGCUGGGUUAAAUACGUCGUGAGACAGUAU
rnacentral:ncRNA from 1 species